GCCCUGUUGGCGAAAUUGGUAGACGCGGCAGACUUAAAAUUUGCUCCUUAUAAAGGAUAUCGGUUCAAAUCCGAUACUGGGUA
rnacentral:tRNA from 1 species